AUUGAACGCUGGCGGCAGGCCUAACACAUGCAAGUCGAGCGGAUGAAGGGAGCUUGCUCCUGGAUUCAGCGGCGGACGGGUGAGUAAUGCCUAGGAAUCUGCCUGGUAGUGGGGGAUAACGUCCGGAAACGGGCGCUAAUACCGCAUACGUCCUGAGGGAGAAAGUGGGGGAUCUUCGGACCUCACGCUAUCAGAUGAGCCUAGGUCGGAUUAGCUAGUUGGUGGGGUAAAGGCCUACCAAGGCGACGAUCCGUAACUGGUCCGAGAGGAUGAUCAGUCACACUGGAACUGAGACACGGUCCAGACUCCUACGGGAGGCAGCAGUGGGGAAUAUUGGACAGUGGGCGAAAGCCUGAUCCAGCCAUGCCGCGUGUGUGAAGAAGGUCUUCGGAUUGUAAAGCACUUUAAGUUGGGAGGAAGGGCAGUAAGUUAAUACCUUGCUGUUUGACGUUACCAACAGAAUAAGCACCGGCUAACUUCGUG
rnacentral:rRNA from 1 species